ACCUCGGUAUCUUAGUGGUCAGAGCAGCAGGGCGUAAACCUGAAGACCUGGGUUCGAAUCUCAGUCGGGGCC